UGUUGGUCCUCCCGCAAUGAUAGCUUGUGAACCCGGUCAGGCCUGGAAGGGAGCAGCCGCAGCAAGUGACUCAUGUGCCGGGAUGAGGCUGGCGGGA
rnacentral:SRP_RNA from 1 species